GGGAGGGCGACGCGGGGAACCGAGAGGAGCAGCUGGGACGCCGGAGAUACCGAAACAGGAGAGAGGAGGAGAAAAGAUAGAGACUGAGAAUCGGAGGAGGCAGAGAAACGAUCAGAGGAGAGAGAAGGAUAGAAAAGGGAACAGUGGAUUCAAAGGAAACCCCGCCAUGGCAGUGCCUUGGCACCGGCUGCGACCCUCUCCUCCGGUACCCGGAAAGGGUCUUCGGCUCCACUUCUGCCCCCGGCCGGGAGCUGCCGGCCGCCCGGGGAGGAACCUGAGAGUGUUGGCCCAGGAGGUCCUCGACAUCUGGGGACCCUUCUCCAUCCCAGUCCCCGUCAGCAGACCAAGUUAGAAUCCAGCCUGCCUGGCUCUUAGCUGUGUCGUGACCUUGGGCAAGUCACCCCAGUCCUGGAGAUCCCACGAACUGUGUGGAGCUACAGCAAGACAUACCUUUUACGCUGGUCUCCAGUACAAGAAGUACCUGUAAUAUGUAUAUAACAUAUAUAUAAAUACAUGUAAUGUCACAAAAGUUGCAGGAAACCCCACUUACUCACUAUGCCUCAAACAUUGUAUUUUAAAUUCUACCCUAUUUCUGUUUGGAAAAAGUUCUGUUCGCAACGCA